ACGGGAUCUUGAUCUGUAAUUGCCUUCGCUAUUGGAGCGAAGAACCACUAGAACGCACGUAGGGGAAAUCAUGGAUUCUGUAUCUUCCAACUCCCAUGGAAAUCUGGACGAGCAGAUUUCCCAGCUCAUGCAGUGCAAGCCCUUGAAUGAGCAGGAGGUAAGAGUACUGUGUGAGAAAGCUAAGGAGAUACUAAUGGAUGAGAGCAAUGUCCAGCCUGUUAAAAGUCCAGUAACAAUAUGUGGUGAUAUUCACGGGCAAUUUCAUGAUCUUGCAGAACUCUUUCGCAUUGGAGGGAAGUGUCCAGAUACAAAUUACUUGUUUAUGGGUGAUUAUGUCGACCGUGGCUACUAUUCCGUUGAAACCG
rnacentral:misc_RNA from 1 species